UAGAGAACUGUAGAGAUCAAUGUAGCUGCCAAGCGCUCUUCUAAAACUUCUCAAAGCCACUUGUUGCAUCUCAGCUGUGCGAUUGCCCGUACAAUAUGGAGUACAAGAACAAGCUCGUUCUCGCUCCAAUGGUUCGAGUUGGUACACUGCCGCUUAGGUUACUAGCUGCUGAAUACGGUGCAGAUAUAACCUACGGAGAGGAGAUAAUUGAUCAUAAAAUCAUCAAAUGCGAGAGGCGAAUUAAUGAGGUCAUUGGGUCUACUGAUAUUGUGGAGAAGGGAACCGGGAAUAUUGUUUUCAGAACCUGCCAUGAAGAAAGAAGUCGGGUAAUAUUUCAAAUGGGCACUUCUGACGCUGUGAGGGCCCUGACUGCUGCUCAGAUCGUGUGUAAAGAUGUUGCAGCAGUAGAUAUUAAUAUGGGUUGCCCCAAGUCGUUCUCUAUUAGUGGAGGAAUGGGCGCUGCACUGUUGGCUAAACCGGAGCUUGUUCACGAUAUCUUGACAACAUUAAAAAGGAAUUUGGACACACCAGUAACAUGUAAAAUUCGGCUGCUAAAAUCAUCCCAGGAUACAGUAGAAUUGGCACGACGAAUUGAGAAAACUGGUGUUUCUGCUCUAGCUGUCCAUGGAAGAAGAGUUGCUGAUAGGCCGAGGGAUCCUGCUAAGUGGAGUGAGAUUGCUGAUGUUGUAGCAGCACUCUCUAUUCCCGUAAUUGCAAAUGGUGAUGUCUUUGAGUAUGAAGAUUUUCAACGCAUUAAAGUUGCUACAGGUGCCUCAUCGGUUAUGGCUGCGCGAGGAGCUCUUUGGAAUGUUUCAGUUUUCUCUCCCCAUGGCAAAGUGCCCUGGGAAGAUGUGAAAAGAGAGUAUGUCAGGAAGAGCAUCUUAUGGGACAAUGAUGUUAAAAGUACAAAACACACCUUGAAGGAAAUGAUAAUGCACUAUUCUUGCCUUGAACUCCCGGAGGGAAAAGCUGUGAUUAAAUCAGAAACCUUGGCUGAUCUAGCGCACCUUUAUGGGGAAGAAAAGUACUGUAAGUUUGUAAAUGAAAACCGGUGGUUAUGCAGUGGAAUUAGGUGACUCUUCUUUCCGUGCCCCUCAUUUGAACUGAUAACAACUGGGAAUUCUGCUCAACCCAAGUUGUUUGUGCACCAAUUUAUGUGAAGACUGAAGACGACAUUUUUUGCAGGAGCAGAAGUCAACUGAAAUAUGUGAAGUAGCAGCUCAAAGAAGAUAACCUUUGUUGCUUUUUAAACUGUAUCAAUCAAUGUUGUAUUGUAUGAUAGUGUAGUGCAUCCAUGGCUAGAUAUCUGCUUUGAACGUGUGAUUUUUAAAAUUGUAUCAAAAUUCAAUGUUACUUUCAUAAACUUCUCAAGAUAUAGUGAAAAUUGCUAUACACCCUUCCAGGAAUCUAGUUUUGCUUUAGUUUGGCUCAUGGGUAAAAAAAUUGUUUACCCAAAGGAGAAAAUGGGUUAGAAAGGAUUUGGAAUGGGUUGGGUGUCAAUGAGUCAGUAAUCCAUUCUCAACCUGUGGGUCAUAAAUGGGUAAGGGUUCAAAUGGACUGGUUAAAACGGGCUAACACAUUCCAAGCUCUCUUCUUUUUCUUUUUCAUUUCUUUUCCUUUUUUUAUUUUUUUUCACUUUUUGCAAAAUUUUUACUUUCCUGCCAUCCAUGGCAAUAAUAAUAAUAAUAAUAAUUUGUUCUAGUAUUAAAUUUUUUAUUUCAAGCAUUACAAUUUUUAUUAUUAUUAUUAUUAUUAUUAUUAUUUGGGAAAAAUCACUAUAUAACUUAAUCAACAAUAUUAAUUAAUUUUUUGAUUUCAGGAGUUACAAUUUUUUAUUUUUUAUUUAUUUUGGGAAAAGUCACUAUAUAACUUACUCAACAAUAUUGAUUACAUAUAUUUAAAAAAAAAAAAAAAAGGAGUUUUGAGCAGGAGAGAGAAAUGGAGGAGAAAUAAAAGAGGGUCCGUAAUCCGCUCCAGUGCGCCUCUCCCUAGACUUCGUCCAGUAAGGAUCUAACGGCUAAGAUGAAUCCACCUCAGCCCAUUUGCCACGUUAGCGCUUAAUCAGUUUCGACUCAGCGUCCAGUCAGCAACUUAGUCAACAAAGUUACUUAUGUACUCUUUCUUUUACAACAUCUACUUAUACUGUAAGUCACAUAAUUUGCGUGGAGGACUGCUGCUCCAGAGCUCUGCACGCGGAUCGACGUUUUGGGAGCAGAUUCGCCCCAAAUUCGCGAACUCAGUUUUUUAAGUUUGCGAACUUGAUUUUCAAAUUCGCGAACUCACUUUUAGAAUUCGGUCUUUUUUUUUUUUUUUUUUUUUUUUUUUUUUUUUUUUUUUUUUUUUUUUUUUUUAA